rnacentral:rRNA from 1 species
GACGGGACCGCACAAGCGGUGGAUGAUGUGGAUUAAUCGAUGCAACGCGAAAACCUUACCUACCUUGACAUGUCCGGAAUCCCGAAGAGAUUUGGGAGUGCUCGCAAGAGAGCCGGAACACAGGUGCUGCAUGGCUGUCGUCAGCUCGUGUCGUGAGAUGUUGGGUUAAGUCCCGCAACGAGCGCAACCCUUGUCAUUAGUUGCCAUCAUUUGGUUGGGCACUCUAAUGAGACUGCCGGUGACAAACCGGAGGAAGGUGGGGAUGACGUCAAGUCCUCAUGGCCCUUAUGGGUAGGGCUUCACGCGUCAUACAAUGGUCGGUACAGAGGGUUGCCAACCCGCGAGGGGGAGCUAAUCCCACAAAGCCGAUCGUAGUCCGGAUCGCAGUCUGCAACUCGACUGCGUGAAGUCGGAAUCGCUAGUAAUCGUGGAUCAGCAUGUCACGGUGAAUACGUUCCCGGGUCUU